AGGCCAUUUCCAUGUGGGCUUGUGGAGCUGUGAAACCUGGGCUUCUUAACACUAUGACCAAAGACUGAAAUUCUCCUUAGUCAUUCAACAGUGCCAUGUGUUCCUAAAAAGAUGUAGCC
rnacentral:snoRNA from 1 species